rnacentral:rRNA from 1 species
UACGUAGGGUGCAAGCGUUAAUCGGAAUUACUGGGCGUAAAGCGUGCGCAGGCGGUGAUGUAAGACAGUUGUGAAAUCCCCGGGCUCAACCUGGGAACUGCAUCUGUGACUGCAUCGCUGGAGUGCGGCAGAGGGGGAUGGAAUUCCGCGUGUAGCGGUGAAAUGCGUAGAUAUGCGGAGGAACACCGAUGGCGAAGGCAAUCCCCUGGGCCUGCACUGACGCUCAUGCACGAAAGCGUGGGGAGCAAACAGG